rnacentral:rRNA from 1 species
UACGUAGGUGGCAAGCGUUGUCCGGAUUUACUGGGCGUAAAGAGCGCGCAGGCGGUCGUUCAAGUCGCGUGUGAAAGCCCCCGGCUCAACUGGGGAGGGUCACGCGAUACUGAUCGACUCGAAGGCAGGAGAGGGUAGUGGAAUUCCCGGUGUAGUGGUGAAAUGCGUAGAUAUCGGGAGGAACACCAGUGGCGAAGGCGACUACCUGGCCUGUUCUUGACGCUGAGGCGCGAAAGCUAGGGGAG